rfam:Salmo salar isolate Sally breed double haploid chromosome ssa01, whole genome shotgun sequence.
AAUGCACCAAUUUGUAAGUCGCUCUGGAUAAGAGCAUCUGCUAAAUUGCUUAAA